rnacentral:rRNA from 1 species
GGCUCAGGAUGAACGCUGGCGGCGUGCUUAACACAUGCAAGUCGAACGAAGCCCUCGGGCUUAGUGGCGGACGGGUGAGUAACGCGUGAGAAUCUACUUCUAGAUGGGGACAACCGUUGGAAACGACGGCUAAUCCCCAAUAAGCCGAGAGGUGAAACGGGUAUCCGCUAGAAGAGGAGCUCGCGUCCGAUUAGUUAGUUGGUGGGGUAAGAGCCUACCAAGGCAGCGAUCGGUAGCUGGUCUGAGAGGAUGAGCAGCCACACUGGGACUGAGACACGGCCCAGACUCCUACGGGAGGCAGCAGUGGGGAAUUUUCCGCAAUGGGCGAAAGCCUGACGGAGCAACGCCGCGUGUGGGAAGAAGGCUCUUGGGCUGUCAACCACUUUUCUCAGGGAAGAAGACCUGACGGUACCUGAGGAAUCAGCCUCGGCUAACUCCGUGCCAGCAGCCGCGGUAAUACGGAGGAGGCAAGCGUUAUCCGGAAUUAUUGGGCGUAAAGCGUCCGCAGGGGGCGCAUCAAGUCUGCUGUUAAAGGUCGGAGCUAAACUCCGGUAGAGCAGUGGAAACUGGUGCGCUAGAGGGCGACAGGGGUAGAGGGAAUUCCCAGUGUAGCGGUGAAAUGCGUAGAGAUUGGGAAGAACACCGGUGGCGAAAGCGCUCUACUGGGUCGCACCUGACCCUCAGGGACGAAAGCUAAGGUAGCGAAAGGGAUUAGAUACCCCUGUGGUCUUAGCCGUAAACGAUGGAUACUAGGCGUGGUUUGUAUCGACCCAAGCCGUGCCGAAGCUAACGCGUUGAGUAUCCCGCCUGGGGAGUACGCACGCAAGUGUGAAACUCAAAGGAAUUGACGGGGGCCCGCACAAGCGGUGGAGGAUGUGGUUUAUUUCGAUGCAACGCGAAGAACCUUACCAGGUCUUGACAUCCCGCGAAUCUCUCAGAAAGGAGAGAGUGCCUACGGGAACGCGGAGACGGGUGGUGCAUGGCUGUCGUCAGCUCGUGUCGUGAAGAUGUUGGGGUUAAGUCCCGCAACGAGCGCAACCCUCGUCCUUAGUUGCCAGCAUUAGGUUGGGCACUCUAGGGAGACUGCCGGUGACAAACCGGAGGAAGGUGA